GUUGGCGAGGAAUGCGAGCUGUUUCUUUAAUCUUAUGCUUGGUUGUAACUGGGAGGGAAGGUGGAGAUAGGAAUGGAAUCUCUUCUGUUAGGCUGUGAAAGGACCAGAUAGAGGAGCCUUUCAUUUGCCGCCUCUUGUUGGGAAUUCCGGAAUUCCUCGACCGUAGCCUCAAUUUUGAAUCUCAGUUGAUGCGGAUGCUUUAUCGGUGGCUUGAGCUGAAGAAUGUGCUUGUGCCGUUGUGGUUCUUUUAACAAAAUUCACCAUUGUACUGGAGUCAAAUUCUAGUUUUACAGGAUUUGAGAUGUAUGGUCAAGCAAAUUAUGCUCCUCCGUUCGGGCAGGGUCCUCAGAAACCAUGGCCACCUGCAUACCAACAGCGUGCUGUAGCACCUCCUCCUCCUACCUCAUAUGGUCAACCAGGCCCAACAAUCCCAUCACGUCCUAUAACUCAACAAACACCUGCCCCCCCACCUCAGGCUGCGCAAUCUCUACAUCUAUCUCAGCCGGGUUCCCAUGGUCCACCACCUCCCCACUGUCAGGGUCCAUCCAUUCAAGUACGGCCUGGUGGGAUUACAAAUAUCCGUCCAGCAUAUUUUCAUACGUUUCCACCAGUCCAUGGAAGCACACAAGUUUCUCUAUUUAACUCCAGUGCUCAGCAGAAUGUACAACUUUCACACUCGGGAGUUCAGAACAUGCAUCAUGUCCUGCCUCCGCCACCGCCACCACUACCACCACCACCACUACCUCCUCAUGCUCCCAAUUCAAAUUUAUUACGGCCUCCGCAGCCUUCUACCGUAGGUCCUCUUCAUGCUCCUCAUGCUCAUGCUCGAAUUCAUCCACCACUACCACCUCCUCAUGCUCGAAUUCAUCCACCAUUGCAACAAGGUGGUUUGCAGGUCUUUCCCUCGAUUCCACAACUCCCAACAACAUCCAAUUUUCCUACUCCCUCUUCUUUUGGAGGAGUCAUGCAAUCAAAUCUUGGAAGAUCUCAUUUGCUUGCAAUGGCUCCUCCUCCACCACCAUCCUCUCCUCCACCUAUUCCACCUUCUCCCCCUCCUCCCACCUCGUCCUCUUCUUCAAUUCCAGACCCAGAUUCUUCCAACUUGUCUUGCCGGUCUGAAUUAGAUCCUAGUUCUACCGUUCAUUACGGUAAAGACUUGGAACCCUCUGAAAUUGAUCAAGGAUGCGCACCUCCCAGUCAUUUAGGGGAUAAUGUGCCCAUGCAUGACGAACUUAGAAACUCACAAGUUGGUAAUGGCCUCAUGAUGGUUUCUAAUGUGGACAAUGAGAUAUUGUCAGAUAAAAAUUUUGUGAAGGUUCUUCCUCCACCUCCACCUAAGCCAAAAGAUGAUAGAAUUGUCAAGAAGAUAGAAGUAUUAUGCAAGUUCAUUGCCAAUAACGGUUCCAUUUUUGAAGACACAACUCGCCAAAAGGAAUUUGGGAAUCCAGAGUUUGGAUUUUUAUUUGGUGGUGAACCAGGAAGUGAAUCUGCAGUCGGCCACGAGUAUUUCCAGUGGAUGAAGAAGAAAUAUAGUUUGGCUUCCAAAAAUAUAGCAAUGAAAGAAAAAUCUCCAUUGAGAUCUUCAAGAAUUGAACCACAAUCUGAGAACUUGACAGUGUCAGCGGCAUCCAUUUCACCUGUAAACUCUGACAUGGAGAUGGAAGAUGACAUUACCAUAGCUGAUAUAGGAGAGGAAACUAGUCACUCAUUUCCAAUUCAAAGUUACGAGUGCAAAUCGAGAAAAGAAGAGCAUGAUGCAAAGGAUCAGUUACAAGAACCUGAUGUUUUCAGAAGCUGCAGCCUGGAAAAGGAGAAGGUAGCUGAAGAUGGAGGGCCAAAACUUCUGCUGGACCAUGAAAAAUCUGUCAGCAUUGCAGCUUGCCAAGUUCACAGCCAUGUCAGAAGUACUGCUGGAGUUACUGAACAGCCUCCAGGCGGCAGCCCAUUUAGACUCAUACAGGACUAUGCUUCCGAUGAAAAUUCAGAAAGUGAUGAGGAACCACAUCAUAAAGAUGUCCAUUUUGUUGCUACCUCAUCUUCAACUCCAGCUUAUUCUAAGACUUCCAACAAAGACACUGAUAAUUUGACUAUUCUUGGAUCAAAAGGUUCUUGCCAGGUUCAACGAGCUCAGUUUCUCUCAGAAUCACCAAAACAGGUUUUUGAUGCUAAAGAGGCAAAUGUCAGGAAGACAGGGAAUGAACAGAGUUACAAUAACCAACAGAAUCAAAUUGGUUCCGGCUCUGGUUCUAAGUCUUUGAAUGCAAUGAAUGGUCGUAGUAUUGAUGUUCCCCAAGAUACUGACAAGUUACAAAAAGAAAAUGAUGCUGAACAUAAGAAGUUGGGAUCAUCUCCUGUAAAAAUAGAUGAAUUUGGGAGAUUAGUCAGAGAAGGUGACAGUGAUAGUGAUUCAGAUGAUUCACACUAUACAAGGAGACAUAAGAAUAGAAGAGCUAGAAAUAGUAGUGAAAGUCGUUCUCCUGUUGAUAGAAGGAGGGGACGAAGGAGUCCACGGAGAAGAAGGGAGAGGCGAAGCCGUUCUCGCAGUUGGUCUCCUCGUAACCACAGAGGCAGAAGCAGGUCUCCUGUCAUCAGGCGUUCAAGUCAGUUUCGUCAUGAGAAUAUGAGACGAGAUAAGGGUAUGAUAGGAAAAUGCUUUGACUUUCAGCGAGGUAGGUGCUAUAGAGGAGCAUCUUGUCGAUAUGAGCACCAUGAGCCCCACAAGAACGAUGGAUCAAGAUUCCAUAGGAGCAAACAUCUAGACGAUCACCCAACUUCCAAGAAUAUAAAGAUAAGAGAGGACACUAUGAACAUGUCUAGGGAAGUAUCAGAUCUUGGGUAUAUUAAAAUCGAGAGUCAGGAGUGCAUCCCACAUAAUGAGUCCCCAAAAGGCAAUACUCAUGAAUGGAAGACAGAUAGGCCUACUGGAGAUCCGGAUUCAUUUGUAACUAAAUGUCAAAGUUCUAGAGAUAGAAUUGGCAUAAUUCAAGAAGAAUUAAUUUAUUCAGUACCAGUUGAGGCUGUCCACAUUCAUGUUAAUGAUAAUGUUCAAGAAGCAGAGAAGUCUUAUGAGCAAUGUUCAGUUACGACCUCCGCUGCUGAGAAAUUCCCUGAUGAUAUUUCCACGAGCAUGCUGACUUCUGUAGAGAAUUCUGUGGCUCAGCAAUCCAGCAUGUUUGUUGCAGAGCUUCAAACCGCCAAUGACCUCUCACACCAGAUGGAUGGUUCCUCUGUCUCCAAUUUGUUACCUGAUCAAGUAACUGCAGUUAACGCGAAUAAAGCUCCUGAAUGUGAACAUGGUCUGGAUAGAACUUCAUCAAUUAAGCCACAUUUUGGUACCAGUUCUGCUAGUCAGCUACCUUUGACCUCACAAAUUUUAUCACAAUCUCCAGUACCGAAACCAUUAUCUGCUACUGCUCCAGUUUGUGCUAUUGAUGAUGCCCAUCUUCUUAGAGAACUGCCUCCUCCACCACCUCUCAUAAUUUCGCGUGUAGCUAGUACUGAGGUUCCAGUGCCUGCCCCUUAUAAUUUUGUGUUACAAAACGUUUCCUUUCCUUCUAAAUCUUCACUACCAGGAGGUUUUCAUCCUCAUCAAGAUUUGGUAUCCAUUCAACCAUCUCAUUAUCACAGUACCUCUUUACUGCCUCCGAAACCAUUGUAUGAUUCAACAUUGACUCCUGUAACUACCAAAGAUGGUAUGCCAAUGCAAUUUCAUCAGAGUCAUUUGUCUCAAGGAAGUGAUUUGGGUUCUCAGUCUAUUAAGAAAUCCCAGCCAUUGGAGUUGCAUUCUCAUUCUAAGCUCGGUGAGUCCCCAGUUCAAGAGCCUUAUCGAGCUCCAAUGCACAUGGAUGAAGUUAGAUCAAUUGCACCAGUUGCAAACAAUCAACCUAGUCAACCUUUUGGAUUCCCAAGCUUUCAGAAUGAAGAAAACUUUGGGCGGACUUCUGUGGAGACGAAUUCUUCAAGUUUUUUUCCUCACCGAAACUUUAAUGAUCAUUCUGUGCCCUUUACAAAUGCAAAUAUAAUGCAAUCUUCUGGUGACAAUUUUCCUCCUAGUGAAUUUCGAAGUUCAUUUUCACAGUUGCAUCCUUAUUCACGGUUUCAACAGCCAUUGUACACCUCACAACCUGCACAUGAUAGUUUGUUCCGUGAACCAAGCCAGAUUGGUAGUAUGUUUCAAAAUUAUCCCGAUCCUCUAAGCAGGAACCAUUCAUCUUUGCUUCCUGAUUUAGGGGGUUUGGGAAUUACCUCUUACCAUAAUCCUUAUGCAUCUACUUUUGAGAAGCCACUUAGCUCCAGCUUCAGAUCCAACAUUUUGAACUUUGGAAAUGAUGCACCUAGUGGUGAUAUACGUAGUUCUACUUUCAAUGUGAGCAAUGUUCACGUUGAUGGGCAAGGUGCUAAUUAUGUUGGAACAAGGCAGACAACUGCUUCACCAAAUUCCACCAAACCUUUGGGGAAAGUCUUGCUCAGUACAGGUGGUGAUCAGUAUGAUCCACUCUUUGACAGCAUUGAGCCAUCAUUACCUAUAUCCAAGAAAUCUGAUUGUGGUCAAAAGCUGGAAAAAGAAAGGGAAUCUUAUACAAUGACAAGCCUUGGUAGUUCCCAUAAAUUACUAUAUGUGGAGGAGAACAACAAGCAUACAGAAGUUGCCGCUGUGGCUUCAACUACUACUCUGGAGAAUGAUGAAUUUGGAGAGACAGCAGAUGCAGAGGCUGGUGCUGUUGAGGAUGACCUUGACGACGAAGAAAAUUUAUCAGGAGAAAUCGAAAUUGAUCAGGUUAAGUCCUCAGAGAAGAGCAAGAAGUCCAAAGGUUCCAGGUCACUGAAGCUUUUCAGGAUUGCUAUUGCCGAUUUUGUUAAGGAAAUUUUAAAACCAUCAUGGCGACAGGGCAAUAUGAGCAAGGAAGCCUUUAAGACAAUUGUCAAGAAGACUGUUGACAAGGUAUCUGGAGCUAUGAAGAGUCACCAAAUACCCAAGUCUCAAGCAAAGAUAAAUCGAUACAUUGAUUCAUCACAACGAAAACUGACAAAGCUUGUUAUGGGUUAUGUUGACAAGUACGUUAAGGCAUAGAACAUGAUGAAGUCUGCAUCCCAAUGUGUUGGACUAUGAAAGCAACAUUAUUAUGGUUGUUUCUCUCCUUGUUGGGUGGAUAUCAGGAAUUAUGCAUUCAUCUUGGACAUCUGCAAGGGAUGGAUAGGUGAUAGUUCCACGGUGUUGGUUGAAAUGUCGGUCAGAGGUCAUGGUCCUGUGGAUGCUGGAGAAUUGAUGAAGCUUGCAAUAUGCUGAGCAUCGUGACAUAAGUUCUUUAGCAUAUGAUUCUCAUUAAUUCCUGAGGUUGCAGCAAAAUAACAUGAAACAACUAAGUGGUGUGAUAUUACUAUGAGCUUUAUGAAAACUCUGUUCAUGCUUCUGGUUUAACGACCUAUUGAGGAACAUUGCAUCAUCCCUCAACCAUUUAAUGACCAUUGACUUCUUUAGAGUUGCAUUUGCGGUCGAGUUUAAUGGUAUAAGGGAAACAGGAUAGACCAGCCACCGAGUUCGUUACUCUUCGAUUUUGUUGUCUUGUCGCUGGAGAAUCCUGAACUUAAUAGACUUAUGGCCUCUGUGGAUGGAAUUUGACUGCCCUGUUUUAUCCAAACCUGGCUUUCUGUUGUCUGGAAGACAAGCUAGAGAGGAAAAUAUCGGCAGUUGAACGUGUUAAUGUCAAGCCAGAGACGACUGCUUGGGUUAGGCUGUUCCAUUUUCUGCCUCUGACAGUUUGAGAUACAAGUUUGACUGAUGAGCUUCCUUUUCCCUUGAACUGAAAGAUGACAAUUCUCAAAGAUUUACCUUGUUCUUAGAGCCACAAGACACUCAAGUUACAUCACGGCACGACACGACACGACACACGUUUUCGGACCGUGUUUAGUCAUGAAGUGAUAUAGUUUCCUCUAGUCGGACCCCGAUUGCUGACAUCAAAGGCUCUAGGAUCUUGCUUCUUGGUCUUUCUAAGAUGGGUUCUGCCAGCAAAAUGUAUUGUAACUUAUAAUUUUGGUUGAAGAGGGAAUAGGAUUCACUUGGAUUGUGAAGAACCAAUAGUUUGGAGGAAUUCCUUUUAUGUUGUACCACCUGAUUCAUUUAUUUUUCUAACGUGUAUGAGCAUAGUUUCAUGAUUUAGAAAUUCUACAAUUCUACCUUAAAAAUGGUAGAUUUAUUGUAA